CUGACUGAGUGCCAGCAGCCGCGGUAAUACGGAGGGAUCGAACGUUAAUCGGAAUUACUGGGCGCAAAGCGCGCGUAGGCGGUUUGAUAAGUGGGAUGUGAAAGCCCCGGGCUUAACCUGGGAACUGCAUUCCAAACUGUCAGACUAGAGUAUGGUAGAGGGUGGUAGAAUUUCCUGUGUAGCGUUAAAUGCGUCGAUAUAGGAAUGGAAUACCGAUGUGCUGAAGGCAGUCCACCCUGGACCAAUACUGAACGCUGAGGUGCCGAAAAGCGUGUGGAGCAACCAAGGAUUAAGAUACCCCUGGUAGUCUACGCCCGAAAACCUGAUGAAGAACCUAGCUCCCCGGGGGCCCCUUGAUGGC
rnacentral:rRNA from 1 species